GACGAACGCUGGCGGCGGGCUUAACACAUGCAAGUCGAACGGAAAGGCCCUGCUUGUGUGGGGUGCUCGGGUGCCGAACGGGUGAGUAACACGUGAGUAACCUGCUCUUGACUUUGGGAUAACUUCAGGAAACUGGGGCUAAUACCGUAUCGGAGCUCCUGCUGCAGGGUGGGGGGUGGAAAGUUUCGGCGGUUGGGGAUGGACUCGCGGCUGAUCAGCUUGUUGGUGGGGGAGUGGCUUACCAAGGGUUUGACGGGUAGCCGGCAGGAGAGGGUGAACGGCCACAUUAGGACUGAGAUACGGCGCAGACUCGUACGGGAGGCAGCAGUGGGGAAUAUUGCCCAAUGGGCGGAAGCGUGAGGAAGCAACGCCGCGUGCGGGAUGACGGCCUUCGGGUUGUAAACCGCUUUCGCCUGUGACGAAGCGUGAGUGACGGUAAUCGGUAAAGAAGCACCGGCUAACUACGUG
rnacentral:rRNA from 1 species